UCGACUUGCAAAAGCCUGCAGAAAAUUCUUCAAGCUGCAACAGGUCAACAUCGUAUCUUCUGAUUUAAUUGAGCAGAAUCGUACUUUUUGUUUUCUAAUUCUUCGUAAAAAUUACAAGGUUACAUAAAACAAUUCGGGACUUUUGACUAGAUUUCGGUAGAUGGAAGCUAUACUUACAACGAACCUAUGGAGGCAAAAAAUGGAUGCGAAUGGAGAGAGAUGCAGCUCCAAGCAAUUACAAAAUCAGCCUGAUUUUCUAGGUGCUGUAUUUGUACUGAUUUUUGAAAAAAAAAAUUGAAAAGUUGAUACUCCAGAUAUUUUUCAUUCAACAUCUGACAGAGAAUGAGAACGUGCACACCAGUGUAAACGGCCAAAAACAAAUAUUCCGAGACAGAGAUAACUGAUAACACUUUUGAAUGGUGGAUGCUCCAUCAUGUUCACUCUUCAACGUGGGCUGGCAAAGGAGUUGCAUGACGUACAUCGGAACGGAUAUGAAGUGAUUUGGGCAGAAAACCAUGGGAACGACAUUCUGGACUGGAGGAAUUUGGAAAUGGAGACACGUGCAUCUAUUUGGGAUACAUGGAUCAGAGAUUCGGGAUUUCCUGAAUGAGCUUUUUUGUCAAGUGAAGUCCAAAUGUUAUUGUCAGUGGGAGAGAUAGAAAAACAGAGUUGCCGAUUCUCUGCAUUACCACUGCCUUCUCUAUUAUACAGAACCAUAGAAGGCAUCAGUCAAUAAUCUUCAAGCUGCUGAGUUCAAAUUGGAGAAGGAAAACCACCAACCUCAACUGACUAUCGAUCUCAAACUUUGCGGUUGAUCGCCAGGAGCUACAACCACCAGACCACAGAUCAUUCAAUUUCCAAUACCCAUAUCUUUGUAAGUAUGAUAAGUUGUUGUAGUAGUUAGUACUCCUAUAGUCAACCGCAAGAAAAUAGUCCGAUGGAAAAUGGAACAUAUGAGUGCAACGUUGCCAAAUAAGAGUUGAUCUAUGUUGUGCACUGCUGUUAUAAAUGAGUAUUUUUUCACGAAUUAGCAACGUCUAUGGGUGUGGUGGGAGGUGAGGAGGUACUCAGUCGUUCCAAUUUCCAUCGGACUGUUUUCGUGCGGUUGACUAUAUUAAUGAGUUGCUUGAAUAGUUAGUACUCCUAUAGUGAGGUCCACGUUAUAAUGGCAAUUUUUGUUUAACAUUGCUGUUGCUAUCUCAUUCGACAA